UACGUAGGGGGCAAGCGUUGUCCGGAAUUAUUGGGCGUAAAGCGCGCGCAGGCGGUUAUUUAAGUCUGGGGUUUAAACCUUGGGCUCAACCUGAGGUCGCACUGGAAACUGGGUGACUUGAGUACAGAAGAGGAAAGUGGAAUUCCACGUGUAGCGGUGAAAUGCGUAGAUAUGUGGAGGAACACCAGUGGCGAAGGCGACUUUCUGGGCUGUAACUGACGCUGAGGCGCGAAAGCGUGGGGAGCAAACAGG
rnacentral:rRNA from 1 species